rnacentral:snRNA from 1 species
UCCAGCGGCUGGAAGAGCA